GGGGACCUGCCUCUCCAGCUCUGACUCUGGACGGAUCCUGGAGCAGGAACUCAGGCAGGGGACUCGCCAUCAGCCCUGCUGCCCAGGGAAGGAGGGACUGGCCCUUUAACUCCCAAUCUCAGCCUCAGGGACACUCGGAUGGCCCAGUGGUUCUAUUGCUGGCAGUCCGUCCUGCAGACACUCCAGACACGCGUGGAAAACAUCCAUUGCAGCCUGAUGUGAACUAUCAAAGGACUGGAAACAGCCUAAAUGGUCAUCAGCAGAGAACUGGAUGGACAAGAUGUGAUUCUGCCCACUCACACUGCCAACUACAAUGUACCCACUUCAUGAAGAACGUGCAGGUCCUCGCGUUUAUUUAUUCAACAAAUUCCUUCUGAGUCCUUGUUACAUGAGGCCCGCUAUGCUCGGCGAAGGGGACACAAUAGUGCAUGAACACAAACCCCAUCCUGGCCUUGCAGAGCUUGGUCUGCCUGGGGAGUUUGACUGAGGAAUCGGCAAUGCCGCAGGUGUAGCCCUCCAGAGGGCUAUGGUGGAGACAACUCAGAGAAGUCAGGGCAGUCAAGAGUUCUUGUUGUGGCUCAGUGGUUAACGAAUCUGACUAGGAAGCAUGAGGUUGCGGGUUCGAUCCCUGGCCUUGCUCAGGGGGUCAAGAAUCCGGAGUUGCCGUGAGCUGUGGUGUAGGCUGCAGACAUGGCUCGGAUCCUGCGUUGCUGUGGCUGCGUUGUGUAGGCCGGCGGCUGUAGCUCCGAUUGGACCCCUAGCCUGGGAACAUCCAUAUGCCGUGGGAAGCGGCCCUGAAAAAGACCAAAAAAAAAAGUCAGGGAAGGCUUCCUGGAGGAAGUGGCGGUGGAACCACCAUCAAGUGGGAGAGGAAGGAAAGAGCACAUGCAAAUGUCCUAGGGAGAAAGAUGAUGUGGCCGGGUGAUGCAUGGAUGAAGAUUGCUGGGGCUGGAGCCAAGGGGCUGGGGGUGGUGCCAUGUGGAGCCACCCAGACCCCCUUCAGGAGUGAAGUUCAGUGGGAACUCCUAAUUUUUUACUUUUAUUUUGCUUCUUUUUUUAAACAAAAUUUUAUUAUCAUUGAUUUACAAUUCUGUGUCAAAUUUUUGCUGUACAGCUAAGUGACCCAGCUAUAUAUACAUACACAUAUAAAUGUACAUUCUUUUCUUCAUUUUAUCCCUACGGACCCAUUUUAAACUUCUGAACUCCAGAACUGUAAAGAUAACAAAUUUGGGAAAUCCCAUCAUGGCACAGUGGAAACGAAUCUGACUAGGAACCAUGAGGUUGCAGGUUCGAUCCCUGGCCUUGCUUAGUGGGUUGAGGAUCUGGCACUGCCGUGAGCUGUGGUGUUGGUCACAGACACAACUUGGAUCUGGCGUUGCUGUGGCUCUGGCGUAGGCCAGUGGCUGUAGCUCCAAUUCGACCCCUAGCCUGGG
rnacentral:lncRNA from 1 species